rnacentral:rRNA from 1 species
GUGGUGAUCUGCCCUGCACUUCGGGAUAAGCCUGGGAAACUGGGUCUAAUACCGGAUAGGAGCCAUUUUUAGUGUGAUGGUUGGAAAGUUUUUCGGUGUAGGAUGAGCUCGCGGCCUAUCAGCUUGUUGGUGGGGUAAUGGCCUACCAAGGCGGCGACGGGUAGCCGGCCUGAGAGGGUGGACGGCCACAUUGGGACUGAGAUACGGCCCAG